rnacentral:lncRNA from 1 species
UUUAGGGAUUAGAAGUGGGUCCCUUCAUCCCACCUUGGGUAAAUACUUGAAGUAAUUUUGGUAGACUUUUAUACGCUCGAUAUGUAUUUUAAAAUGCUUAUUAUGAAUCUUGAUAAGACUAGAUACUUAAUAGUCAUGAUGGUUUGAUAUUAGUUGUUGAUGAAAAUUAUAGUAAAACCCAUUAGUGAUGAUAUGGAUAAUGUGAAU